rnacentral:rRNA from 1 species
UACAGAGGGGGCAAGCGUUAUUCGGAAUUAUUGGGCGUAAAGGGCGCGUAGGCGGCUUGGCAAGUGGAUGGUGAAAUCCCUCGGCUUAACCGAGGAACUGCCGUCCAAACUGCUUAGCUUGAGACCGGGAGAGGUGAGUGGAAUUCCCAGUGUAGCGGUGAAAUGCGUAGAUAUUGGGAGGAACACCAGUGGCGAAGGCGGCUCACUGGACCGGUACUGACGCUGAGGCGCGAAAGCGUGGG